CUUCGAACGCACAUUGCGGUCUUCGGAUACUGUUCCUGGACCACUCCUGGCUGAGGGUCGUUUCAAUUUCCACGACUGCCGGGCGUGUUUUAUGCGCCGCCUCGUACGGCGCUCGCCGAGGCAAAUAUAUGGCCGUUCGCGAUAGGCCUUAAAACAUAGUACGUUUCGUACGGCCCCGCAUUCGUACGGUGGCGACGUUUCGUGCGUCGUGUAAAAGCCAUAUCGCGUCGGUUUAAAUUACCGCCAAUUAUUUAAUAAGGUUCGCGGCGAACAGCGUAUAAUAAUAUAUAUGUUGUGUUAUAUACGCCCGUCGGAACUCGACAGCGGUCGACGUGUCAGAGACGAAACCGAGGAUGAAAAAUAUGCAUAGCAUGUUGUUCGUAUAUCCCGUGUUUUGCGUUGCGGGGAACGGGUGUCGUCGUAACAGUCGCGCUUUAGGGUUCAGCGACAAAACGACGAUGAUGUACGACGACCACGAAGUCAGUCGUCUUCUCGUCGUUAUAUGUCGCGAUAACUAAAGUGUCGACGGACGACAGACGGCCACGUUUAACCAACCGACGUCAGACCUACAUAUCGGUUCGACAUUCGUCGUCUGCGCGCGCGCGGUAUAUAUCU
rnacentral:misc_RNA from 1 species